AUUGAACGCUGGCGGCAGGCCUAACACAUGCAAGUCGAACGAGUGGCGGACGGGUGAUUAAUGACUGGGAAACUGACCGAUGGCCGGGGAUAACUACUGGAAACGGUAGCUAAUACCGAAUCACAACAGAUGUGCCAAGAUGGGAUUAGCUAGUAGGUGGGGUAACGGCUCACCUAGGCGACGAUCCUUAGCUGGUCUGAGAGGAUGACCAGCCACACUGGUACUGAGACACGGUCCCAACGCCGACGGGAGGCAGCAGUGGGGAAGAUUGCACGAUGGGGGAAACCCUGUUCCAGCCAUCCCGCGUGAACCAUGAAGGCCUUCGGGUUGUAAAGCACUUUUGGCAGUAAAGCUGUACCUGCAUAAUAAGCACCGGCUAACUACGUGCCAGCAGCCGCGGUAAUAC
rnacentral:rRNA from 1 species